rnacentral:rRNA from 1 species
AGUGAACGCUGGCGGCAGGCCUAACACAUGCAAGUCGAGCGGCAGCGCGGGGGCAACCCUGGCGGCGAGCGGCGGACGGGUGAGGAAUGCAUCGGAAUCUACCUCGUUGUGGGGGAUAACCUCGGGAAACCGGGACUAAUACCGCAUACGACCUACGGGUGAAAGUGGGGGACCUUCGGGCCUCACGCGAUGAGAUGAGCCGAUGCCGGAUUAGCUAGUUGGCGGGGUAAAGGCCCACCAAGGCGACGAUCCGUAGCUGGUCUGAGAGGAUGAUCAGCCACACUGGAACUGAGACACGGUCCAGACUCCUACGGGAGGCAGCAGUGGGGAAUAUUGGACAAUGGGCGCAAGCCUGAUCCAGCCAUGCCGCGUGUGUGAAGAAGGCCUUCGGGUUGUAAAGCACUUUUGUUGGGGAAGAAACCGGUCGGAUUAAUACUUCGGCUGAAU